GGGACAUUUAGAAUGCUAAGCCAGAGAGCUCUAGUGUGAGAUUUGCGCCCGUACCUUGGGAAGUCAGAUGUGGCCAUGGUGGUCCAUGCUCUCACAUCUAGGAUAGAAUAUAUAUAUAUACAUAUACAUAUAUUUUUAUUUAUUUAUUUCCAGAAUUUAUACCCCGCCCUUCUCACCCGAGGGGACUCAGGGUGGAUCACAUUACACACAUAAGGCAAACAUUCAAUGCCUUAACAUAGAAAAAAGACAAGACAAAUGCGGGGCUCCGAGCUGGCCUCGAACUCAUGACCUCUUGGUCAGAGUGAUUUAUUGCAGCUGGCCGCAGCUGGUUGCUCAACAGCCUGCGCCACAGCCUGGCAUCACAAGUGUAGGCGUCACCCACUGCAGUAACC
rnacentral:lncRNA from 1 species